UGGCCCCUGGGGCGGCAAACUGGCCAGGAGGCCACAGCGCCAAGUGCAGCCAUGUGCAGCCAGGGUUGGCCUUCGGAGAGCCCAGGCGAGUCUUGUGCUCACAUGCUCCAGGAUGCCACUUCUUCUGGGAACUGCCAGUGGAGUUGACCUCAGCUCUUGGAGGCCUGGUCUGAGGCUUAGAAAUUAUAUGGAGAUCAUCUGAGAUCCAGGCAGUAGGGCCACGUGGGGGCAUCUGAUUGCCUUGGGCGAGUGCGACCCAGGGCCUCAGGCCAGCAUCUUCUCAGACGACCAAGGGAGAGUGGUCAGAAGAGCACAGGGCACCUGAGAUCCCCAACAGCCCCCUAUUUCGGAUGGGGAGCUAAGGCUCUGAGACCACCCAAGGCUGCUCAGCGGAUCAGCUGCCACACAGGAACGCCAUGGAAAUGGCAGUGAUUGGGAUGGUGGGGGUGCUGUUUGUGGUCACUGUGGCAAUCACCUGCAUCCUCUGCUGCUUCAGCUGUGACUCGAAGACCCAGAAUCCUCAGGGGGGCCCUGGCCAUAGCUUCACAGUGGCCACGUUUCGCCAGGAGGCUUCUCUCUUCACGGGGCCCAGUCGCCAUGCCCAGCCAGCACCGAGUGCCCGGGACUUCUGGACCUUCAUGUGAGGCCUAACAGUCCCUCAAGAUUUGCUCUGCUCUUGGGUCAGACUCGCCCACCCCCCAGCAAACCUGCUCUGGCGUCUGACCCUGCCGAGGCCCGUCUCCCUGUCCUUCCACUCCUGUAUCCUGAGAACUUCUUAUCUCUCCACCCACACUGGUUUGCUGUACCCUGCAGCCUGGGGGAUCCCUGGUCGGGACCAGGUGGGGGUCAGCCCUGAGAGCUCAGCUGGGCCCUACCCACAGGAUGGGGCUUAGGAGGAGUCUGAGGAGUGAGUGAACAGACACAGAGUUGGAUUGCAUGGCGGGCCAGCUCUGCUCAGGCACUGGGCAUGGAAACAUCCACUGGAAUUGAUUGUCAACAGUGUGCCAAUGAAACUGGUUCCAUUGCCACCAGAGGAAGCAGUGUCCUAAAGAGGACAUUUUCAGAAAUCACUUCUUAUCUGCUCCGCUGAUUGGGUAUUUUUGCACAUUGCACAGAGCCCAACCCUGAGGUCUGCCCCUGGCCGGUUGCUUGAAAUCAGCCUUGAAAUUCUGAAACCAGAGAACUGCUUCUUGGGAACACAUGAUUUAUUUUAUAAUCAAAAAUGUAUAUCCUUUUAUGGAUCUUUCCAAAUCUUGUUUGCAAAACCACAAAAGGAAACAGAAAAUAAGAGUCACAGAAAGUACAAGAUGUUUUAUUAACAGGAAAGCCAGAAAGAAGACUUUUAAACUAUUUCGAAUGAGACUUUAUUGCUGUGUUGUAACAGGUGGCUUCUAUUCUUAGAGCUUGUGAGUGACUUCCCUCACUCAGGAAUGAUAGAAAAAUCAUGAACUGUAACAUAAUUCCAAAAAAGUUAAAAUGUUGUGUUACAUUCAGAGCAUGUAAUGAAGCUCUUGUUUUCACCACAAAUAAAGAGAUAUUCAGUUUUUAUUCAUAGAAA